rnacentral:rRNA from 1 species
AUUGAACGCUGGCGGCAUGCCUUACACAUGCAUGUCGAACGGCAGCGCGGACUUCGGUCUGGCGGCGAGUGGCGAACGGGUGAGUAAUACAUCGGAACGUACCCUGUUGUGGGGGAUAACUAGUCGAAAGAUUAGCUAAUACCGCAUACGACCUGAGGGUGAAAGUGGGGGACCGCAAGGCCUCACGCAGCAGGAGCGGCCGAUGUCUGAUUAGCUAGUUGGUGGGGUAAAGGCCCACCAAGGCGACGAUCAGUAGCUGGUCUGAGAGGACGAUCAGCCACACUGGGACUGAGACACGGCCCAGACUCCUACGGGAGGCAGCAGUGGGGAAUUUUGGACAAUGGGGGCAACCCUGAUCCAGCAAUGCCGCGUGUGUGAAGAAGGCCUUCGGGUUGUAAAGCACUUUUGUCCGGAAAGAAAUCGCGCUGGUUAAUACCUGGCGUGGAUGACGGUACCGGAAGAAUAAGCACCGGCUAACUACGUG